AGCUUUUGUCGCCAAAUCCAUUCAAACAAAAGAAGCUCCGACUCCUCCAACCCACCCUUCGGACCCGCACCCCGCAGGGACUCUCUGGAUCCGGGUGCUCGCUCCCCCGCCAGCCCGACUUACUCCUCAGCGCCCCAAUGAGCAGAGAGCCGUCCUUAAUGAGCUCCUUGAUGAACUUGUUGGUUCGCUCCAGCUCAAUCUCGUGACACUGCAAGCGCUCCCUGAAAUCCGGGCUGUCCAAGUAGGAAUCACUGAACUCCAGAGUGGGCAGCCCCAUGGCACAGGCGCUGCUGGCGGCGGCCGCGGGCACGUCCCGGCCGGCGGGUUGGGGAAGGGAGAGGCAGUAAUUCUGUUUGUCAGUUAAUGGAAUGACAUGACAUAAACAGCAGUUUUUCACCUGAGGUGAUUUUGUAUUUACUCAUUACUCUGCCUGAAAGACAAAAAACCACUCAGGUCAGUUUCCUUUCAACUUUUGCCAUGUUGCUGUUCCCAACAACCGAAUCCAAUGCCAACUGCUGAGAUAUGAAACGUGAUAUAACAUAACAUUCUCUUCUUGUUUUUCAUUAAAUCGUAGUGCUAUGAUUAAUUCCUUAAAAAUGCAUCAACAGUGUUUCAUAAGUUGCAUUUAAUAUAUUCGAUGCCAAAUUUCAGUUUUCUUAAAAGUCUUACAUGCCAGGGCAGAUGUAUUGUAGAUGCUAAGGUGGGGUUAUCAUUUACCCAUUCAUGCAUGUAAUUAUAUGUUUUAUGUCUACUGUCUACAUGACUAAGGCCUGGGUGAGGAAGUGAUUUCUAUAAAAAGAUAGAAAAAGCCUUAUACACGACCUCAAGCAGUUCUCAGAAAAAGAAAAUGCAGAGAACAAGUACCCAUAUAGCAUAAGGCAGAAUAUGCUAUGUUCCACAGUCUCACACAGAUGCUGUACUAAGGCAUUGAUGCCACCAUUUAUCAGUAUGUUUGCACUCAGGCCCAUCGUUGCCUUUACAUGGAAUUAGGAUUUUUUUCUCCUACCCUUCACUCAGGAGUCUCCAAAGCUUAUCAUGUUAUAAUGGACUUAUUUAUUGUAGGUGUUCUCAGGGUUACUCAUACCUUAUUCCUGUGAUUCAUAUUUUAAUUAUACCUGCUAGUCAGGCUUUCUCUUAUGCCACAUUAACACAGCUACUUGAGAAAAAUCAGAAAUGCUUUUGGUUUGAGGUGGAUUUACUGUCAGUUUUGAACUGUUGUUUCCAUCCAUUAUUCUCUCCAUCCUAAUUAACUGAACCGGAUUCUUUCCAAGAGAAUAGAUUUUCUAUAUAAAAGAUCAGCAAUACCUGCAAGCUUGUUUUUAUAAACAAAUUUAAUGGAUUGAAAUGUAGCUUUUCCAGAAAUUUCCACUUCAUAACACAUGACACUGUAAGCUGCAUGGGAAGCUUCACUGAUAUUAUUGGCUGACAAGCUCUUUGCCACAGAGAAAUGUCUCUGUUUUCCUGAUUCUGAAAUGGGAUGUGUGGGGCUUUAUUUGCUUGUUUUUGAGAACAAAUAGAUAGAAGAGGAUAUUAAACUAAUAUAUGGUAUUUGUAAAUCUGCCUAAAACUUUUCUUGACCUAGAUCAUGCUGACACUUAAGCCUGGCAUUUUCUUUGUAUGUACUCAGUAAGUGUUACUGUCGAGCUACUUUUAUUUUUCAAUUAAUUAUGCAGAUAUUAAUUGAAAGACUCAGACUCAGAUAUUCUGAGGUUAAGUUCAAGCCUGUACGAGAUGACUAAACAGAAACCAAGGGUUUCUUCUUGGUUGCGCCUCCUCCCAUCUCCUAGGAACCAUUCUACUUUCUGUCUCUAUGAAUUUGAAAACGUAGGCACCUCACAUAAGUGAACUUAUACAAUAUUUGCA